CAGCCGAGAGGAAGAGGAGGGUGCUGCUGGCAGCGGAUUCAAUAAUGCUACUAGCCGGCUGGCCCUGGCAGGGGCUCCACGUGUUGGGGGGUGAGGCACACAUCUUGUGAAAGAAAAUGAGCAUACUGCAGGAGUUUGGAGAGAUGAAAGUAGACCGCCAAGGAAUAUGGUGUUUGACUGGCUGCUGAAGCAGACAGAUUCCCAUAGUCAUGGCAGGAAUACUGAGAAGUUUGGGUCUCUCUAUGGUCUGACCUCUUCCUGUGGAUCACAUCCUGUAAUUUAUAGCCCACAUAGAGGCUCAAGGGCUGGAUUGUUUCAACAGCAGCAUCUUAUUUGCCAGCAGCAUCCUCUGUUUCCCAGACAGCUAGGUAUGGGGAAUCUUGCAAAGAGGUUAUCUGAAGAAUGGGCUACAUCAGAUCCUCUCUCAAAAGAUUCAUUGCCUUCUCAUUAUAAAACAGUAUGAGAACUUGGAAGUAUAUCGGGAUGGCUACAGCAUCAGAGGAGUGGAGAGCCUCUUGUUCCACACAGUAUUUACAGCAGCCAUCUGACAUCUUUGGGGUUUGAAACUUGGCAAUGGGACCAGCUGGAUGGCUUGCCUGGAACCUUGUUGCCCAACAACCAUUAGUUGGGGAUCUGCCCCUUCUUUCAUCACCAUCCCAAAAAAAUGCUUCCACAAAAUAGACUUAAGAUUCAAAGUUCAAUGGUGCAGCUCUACUGACAAAGGAAGAAGCUAUGCCUGGAGGUUUAUCUGCUUAUAUAACUGUAUGAUGACCAGAUAGCAAGUAUGAAAAAUUGGGAUGGGGGUGAGGGGUAAUAGGAGUCCAUAUUUAAAAAAAAAAAAGCCCCAAAUAUUGGGAAUGUCCCUAUAAAAUCGAGAUAUCUGGCCACCCUGUAUAACUGGCAUGGGGAGGGCUUGUUUGUCCUGCAUGAGGAUGGAUGUCUGACAUUUUCAUCUUAUGGCACUAUUCCAGAAGCCUUUUGGCUCUUCUUGGCUGCUUCCAGGUGAGCUUUAGCCCAAUGCAUUUUAGACUGAGGUAACAAUGUCUGCAGUGGCAGCUGGUUUGCUGUAGGACUGUCUAUGUUCUGGCCUUUGGUAGCUGGGGAUCAAAUUGCUGUAGUGUCUGUGCAUCAAGAGGGACUGAGUAGAAGAGAGAGAAUUUCUUUUGGUAGCUGUAGCUCUCUUCAUGCCCAGGAUCUGUGGAUGCAGUACUGUAUUAUGGGUGCACAAACUAGUGGUGGAGCAGAACUACAUUUGCACACCAUUCAGGUGUGCAAGGGAUGAGAGGACCAGCUCCUACCCUUAAUAUAUUAUCUGAUGGAAGAAACUCCUUGGUGAUAGGGUACGGAGAUCAUCUGUUGGUUAAGCUUAAAAGACUGAGUGGUACUCAAACAGCUGUGUUUGUGGCAAACCUGAUUUGGCCAAAACUUUUGCCAUGGUUCAUAGUGAGAGUGAUUACAGAAUUCAUAAAAGCAAACUGUAAAAUAAAACUUAGAACUGCCAUUGGUGUGUCUUUUUGAAAUAUGACCUUGUGUAUGACUGUGUAGAGUUGUUCCACAUUGUCUGGGUACAGUAUUACAGAUUUGAAGAGAACACGUUCCUUUUGCCUAUCUGUAGGCUGAUAAAGAACUUAUGGAGGUGAGGUGUGCCACCUAAGUGAUAGGCCAGUGGCAUUUAGUAGGUAACCAUUUGAGGGUGGAUGUAGUUCAAGUGCAGCUACUAUUGGUGUGGGAUGCAGGAGGUUAUAACAGGUUGGUCUCUCUUUAAUGGCAAAGUUCAAAUCUUUUGUCAGAUACUGCUGUGUGUG